AGACCCGAAACCCGGUGAUCUAGCCAUGGGCAGGUUGAAGGUUGGGUAACACUAACUGGAGGACCGAACCGACUAAUGUUGAAAAAUUAGCGGAUGACCUGUGGCUGGGGGUGAAAGGCCAAUCAAACCGGGAGAUAGCUGGUUCUCCCCGAAAGCUAUUUAGGUAGCGCCUCGUGAAUUCAUCUCCGGGGGUAGAGCACUGUUUCGGCUAGGGGGCCAUCCCGGCUUACCAACCCGAUGCAAACUGCGAAUACCGGAGAAUGUUAUCACGGGAGACACACGGCGGGUGCUAACGUCCGUCGUGAAGAGGGAAACAACCCAGACCGCCAGCUAAGGUCCCAAAGUCAUGGUUAAGUGGGAAACGAUGUGGGAAGGCCCAGACAGCCAGGAUGUUGGCUUAGAAGCA
rnacentral:rRNA from 1 species